CAAACGACUCUCGGCAAUGGAUAUCUCGGCUCUUGCAUCGAUGAAGAACGUAGUGAAAUGCGAUACUUGGUGUGAAUUGCAGAAUCUCGUGAACCAUUGAGUCUUUGAACGCAAGUUGUGCCCGAGGCCUUGUGGCCGAGGGCACGCCUGCUUG
rnacentral:rRNA from 1 species